CUGUGACUAAACAGUGUGGAACACUACGGCUAGAACAUCUGCCUAUCGGGUCAGAAUGGGUGGUGUAGACCAGCCCCAAGCCCUUACUGGCUCACCCUGCGCUGAGGCUUGCAGACCGCAAUGAAAAGGAAUGGACAAGUCUGCGCUCAAAAGUGGUGUAAGUCAAAGCAAGCAGCCGGAAGGCAGCUCUCGCAGCAGGACCAUGUGUACCACGACGGUGCAGGCACAGAUGAGGGCAGAAGCAUCCCCAGGACCGGUAUCUCCCUAUGCAUUCGUCACUCUGGAGAAGCUUGAUCAGGAGCAGAUUUUGAUCUGCAUUCUUGCAAAUGCCAGUUAAAUCAGAGAUGGGAAUUCCACAGCAAAGACUGUUUGAGAAACAGAGCAGUAGUAGCCCCAAAACAGAAAGGAACUACAGCGGAAGACAGAGGGCUCCCUGGAGGGAGGGAAAUAGGCUGUAGGUGUUAUGCAGUGGCUUUCAAAGUAAACUAUUAAAGGAAUUUUGCCUAUUGUAGUCCUGGUCCCAAAUUGGCCACAUUACAGGGAGGCAGCUAGGAGAAAGUUCUGCUUCCAGCAAUACUUGUGGGCAAACUGGGUUAUUCACCUAAUGGCUACAGGCAAUAUACGUACAAUUUAUGACAUACUGAGGACUUUUUCCUCUUAUUAAAAAAAAAGGAAUCACAACACACAAAAAAGGGUAAAAUCAAUAACGGAAUUCCUCAUCCUGUGCACCUUUUUUCUAAAUCAAACCUGCAUUUGCUUUAAAAAAGUAAAACUAUAAAAACAAAGAUACAUUAGAAUACUCUACUGUUCAGUAAAUGACUUAUAGGCAAUAUUUAUGAUGGAAAAAAAAUGCAUCAAGCCCUUCCUCUGACAAAAAUGAAGCACCCCAAAGUUCAUUCUGUACCAAGGAAUGCCACUUCUUUUGCUGUUUAUUUAAAUCACUCACAUCACCACAAUUUGAAUAUGCAUUAUUUGUCUUCAAAUACCUAAUCAUAAAUCUAGACUAAUGCAGAAAAAAAAUCCUAGUAAGAAUGCUGUGCCGUUGAUAAGCUAAAAACAGCGUAUCAUGAGAAGGCAAACUAAUCUUUCUGUUUACUUUGCAAAUAAUCCAUUAGCUAAACUUCUAUUUUAGGCUGGAUGCUUGAUACUUAACACUUGAAAGUCCAAAUACCCUUCAUAUCCCUUAUAACAGAGAAGAAGAUUGUAAAAUGCCUUUGGUGCAUCAGCUUAACAUUGCAUGAAUGUUUUAAAGAAUCUCACUAGUACUACAGGCAAUGUAAGUGGGCUUGUUUGUGUCCUUUAAUACUCUAAGUGUCAUUUCAUUCUUUAAAGGGGUU
rnacentral:lncRNA from 1 species